AGCGAACGCUGGCGGCAGGCUUAACACAUGCGAGUCGAACGGGCAUAGCAAUAUGUCAGUGGCAGACGGGUGAGUAACGCGUGGGAACGUACCUUUUGGUUCGGAACAACACAGGGAAACUUGUGCUAAUACCGGAUAAGCCCUUACGGGGAAAGAUUUAUCGCCGAAAGAUCGGCCCGCGUCUGAUUAGCUAGUUGGUAGGGUAAUGGCCUACCAAGGCGACGAUCAGUAGAUGGUCUGAGAGGAUGAUCAGCCACAUUGGGACUGAGACACGGCCCAAACUCCUACGGGAGGCAGCAGUGGGGAAUAUUGGACAAUCGGCGAAAGCCUGAUCCAGCCCUGCCGCGUGAGUGAUGAAGGCCCUAGGGUUGUAAAGCUCUUUUGUGCGGGAAGAUAAUGACGGUACCGAAAGAAUAAGCCCCGGCUAACUUCGUG
rnacentral:rRNA from 1 species